CCGUCUCCUGGGCAGCCUAGUAAACAGAAGCCUGUCUCCCGGGCUGCUGGCAUGGCCUCCUCUUGUCCUGGGACCCCCAGCCCAGCAGGUCUGCCCCCUCCUUCUGUAGCCACUCCAGGCGAGACACUUGCCUCUCCCCAGGUGGCGUUUUCCCAUCCUCAUGUUCAUCUUGUCCUCCCCUGGAUCUGACCUUGAAGCUGGGCCCCCAAAGUCCAUUCUCUGCACAGCGGCCGGAUCAACUUUCAACUGAGAGUGACUGCUUCACCUCCUGCCCCAAGCUGGCCACUGUCUUCAGGGAGAACCUCAACAUCCUAAGCUCGCUCAGUCCCCACGUGGUCACGCUGGCCAAAGUCUGCAGCCUCCUCGCCAUCGGGAAGGCUCUGCCCAAAGAGUACUUAGUCCCGCGGCGCCCCCGGAGCCCGCCUUCCCGGACAUCUACGGCGGGGACGCGCAGCUCUGGGAGGCGCAUUUCCGCGGCAUCGGGCGCGCCUACCGCGCGCUGGGCAAGCAGGACGACUUCGCCAUCCGCGUGCUCACCGAGAACUUCACGCUGCCCUUCCCGUUCGCCUGGCCGCCGGGGUCCGACCCCGCCUGCGGGCCGCUCUUCUACGACCCCCGCGACCGCGCAGACUUCGACUUCCUGCUGCGCGGCCCCGGAGCUUCGCCCCCAGCGCUGCUGCGGCCCCUGCACGCCACGGCCCAGGCAGCGAUGCGCAAGCGGCGCCUGGAGCGGCUGGCCCUGAGCUGCGCCCGCGCGCGGGG
rnacentral:lncRNA from 1 species